rnacentral:rRNA from 1 species
AGAUCUGAAGGAAUACCGGUGGCGAAGGCGGCCCCCUGGACAGAUACUGACACUCAGAUGCGAAAGCGUGGGGAGCAAACAGGAUUAGAUACCCUGGUAGUCCACGCCGUAAACGAUGUCUACUUGGAGGUUGUGGCCUUGAGCCGUGGCUUUCGGAGCUAACGCGUUAAGUAGACCGCCUGGGGAGUACGGUCGCAAGAUUAAAACUCAAAUGAAUUGACGGGGGCCCGCACAAGCGGUGGAGCAUGUGGUUUAAUUCGAUGCAACGCGAAGAACCUUACCUACUCUUGACAUCCAUAGAACUUUCCAGAGAUGGAUUGGUGCCUUCGGGAACUAUGAGACAGGUGCUGCAUGGCUGUCGUCAGCUCGUGUUGUGAAAUGUUGGGUUAAGUCCCGCAACGAGCGCAACCCUUAUCCUUGUUUGCCAGCACUUCGGGUGGGAACUCCAGGGAGACUGCCGGUGAUAAACCGGAGGAAGGUGGGGACGACGUCAAGUCAUCAUGGCCCUUACGAGUAGGGCUACACACGUGCUACAAUGGCGCAUACAGAGGGCGGCCAACUUGCGAAAGUGAGCGAAUCCCAAAAAGUGCGUCGUAGUCCGGAUUGGAGUCUGCAACUCGACUCCAUGAAGUCGGAAUCGCUAGUAAUCGUGGAUCAGAAUGCCACGGUGAAUACGUUCCCGGGCCUUGUACACACCGCCCGUCACACCAUGGGAGUGGGCUGCAAAAGAAGUGGGUAGUUUAACCUUCGGGGGGACGCUCACCACUUUGUGGUUCAUGACUGGGGUGAAGUCGUAACAAGGUAACCGUA